AAGUAUCAAAUUAUAGAACAAUGCAUUAGGUUAUUUUUUUAAUGAGAAUAUGCUUGGAAUCUUUCAGGAACACUGAACAUAAGCAACUAACUCUACCUGAGGACAAGAACAAGGAAGGUUAUGCAGAGAAAGCUGCUGAGGAGCGAACUUGAAUUGGACAAGACCAGACUAGAAGAGCGUGGCUGCAGGAAGACUUUUCAAAAACCUAAAGAAGUCUCCAGGCAUAAAUGGAAGAACCAACUGAUCACUUCCUCAAUUGGAAAAGGCUCCACAGGUGGAAUAGAGCAUCCUUUAGGAUAGAAUCCAUUGUCUGUUAACAGAAGUGCACCAGAUACGAAAUGUAGCACAGCCAAAGGAGAUUGUCAGUUUAAAACAGAUGGUCAGGUUCUGCUAGAAAACACAGCUCACAAUCCCUCCACAUCCAGCUUGGCUAAGUUGUAAGAAUGCAGCUAAUAGUAAGAAAUUCAGGAUGAUGACCCACUAAGUAGCCCAAGGACAAGGAGCAAUCUGGGGCGUGAGGGAGAACACAUGGCUAAACUGCUCAAGAAUAUGAUUUCUUAUAUUCCCUCCUGUCUGGAUGACUGUGAAAAUCAUGUGGAGCAAUGAAUAUUUAGUAAGACAUUGUGGAAUGCAAGGGAUGACCUCUAAAUGUUAGCUAGCAUCAAGGAAAAGGGGAAGAAAGUAAG
rnacentral:lncRNA from 1 species